rnacentral:rRNA from 1 species
GAUGAACGCUGGCGGCGUGCCUAAUACAUGCCAGUAGAACGCUGAAGCGAGGAGCUUGCUCUUCUUGGAUGAGUGGCGAACGGGUGAGUAACGCGUAGGUAACCUGCCUUGUAGCGGGGGAUAACUACUGGAAACGAUAGCUAAUACCGCAUAACAUUGGGUGACACAUGUCUUUUAUUUGAAAGGGGCAAUUGCUCCACUACAAGAUGGACCUGCGUUGUAUUAGCUAGUAGGUGAGGUAAUGGCUCAUCUAGGCGACGAUACAUAGCCGACCUGCGAGGGGGGUCGGCCACACUGGGACUGAGACACCGCCCCGACUCCCACGGGGGGCAGCAGUAGGGAAUCUUCGGGCAUGGGGGCAACGCUGACCGGGCCACGCCGCGUGAGUGGAGAAGGUUGUCGGAUCGUAAAGCUCUGUUGUAAGGCGAGAACGGAGGUGGUAGUUGAAAAUUCACGCUGUGACGGUACCUUACCAGAAAGGGACGGCUAACUACGUG